CCUACGGGGGGCAGCAGUAGGGAAUAUUGCUCAAUGGGGGAAACCCUGAAGCAGCAACGCCGCGUGGAGGAUGAAGGUUUUCGGAUUGUAAACUCCUUUUGUUAGAGAAGAUAAUGACGGUAUCUAACGAAUAAGCACCGGCUAACUCCGUUCCAGCGGCCGCGGUAAUACGGAGGGUGCAAGCGUUACUCGGAAUCACUGGGCGUAAAGCGCGCGUAGGCGGGAUAGCAAGUCAGAUGUGAAAUCCUAUGGCUUAACCAUAGAACUGCAUUUGAAACUGUUAUUCUAGAGUAUGGGAGAGGUAGGUGGAAUUCUUGGUGUCGGGGUAAAAUCCGUAGAGAUCAAGAGGAAUACUCAUUGCGAAGGCGACCUGCUAGAACAUAACUGACGCUGAUGCGCGAAAGCGUGGGGAGCAAACAGGAUUAGAUACCCUAGUAGUC
rnacentral:rRNA from 1 species